AUUGAACGCUGCGGCCGGCCUAACACAUGCAAGUCGAACGAGUGGCGGACGGGUGAGUAAUGUCCGGGAAACCGCCCGAUGGAGGGGGAUAACUACUGGAAACGGUAGCUAAUACCGCAUACCAUCAGAUGUGCCCCGAUGGGAUUAGCUUGUUGGGGGGGUAACGGCUCACACAGGCGACGAUCCCUAGCUGGUCUGAGAGGACGACCAGCCACACUGGAACUGAGACACGGUCCAGACUCCUACGGGAGGCAGCAGUGGGGAAUAUUGCACAAUGGGCGCAAGCCGGAUGCAGCCAUGCCGCGUGUAUGAAGAAGGCCUUCGGGUUGUAAAGUACUUUCAGCGGGGAGGCGUUACCCGCAGAAGAAGCACCGGCUAACUCCGUGCCAGCAGCCGCGGUAAUUC
rnacentral:rRNA from 1 species